rnacentral:rRNA from 1 species
AGUAACACGUAUCCAACCUACCUUUACCACUGGAAUAACUAUUGGAAACGAUAGCUAAUGCCGGAUAGGUAAUAAAAACUAAUGUAUUUAUUAUUAAAGGGGCGUUUGCCCCGGGUUAAGAUGGGGAUGCGCAGCAUUAGCUAGUUGGUAGGGUAAUGGCCUACCAAGGCAACGAUGCUUAGCCGGCCUGAGAGGGUGAUCGGCCACACUGGAACUGAGACACGGUCCAGACUCC